rnacentral:rRNA from 1 species
UACGUAGGGACCAAGCGUUGUUCGGAUUUACUGGGCGUAAAGGGCGCGUAGGCGGCGCGGUAAGUCACUUGUGAAAUCUCUGAGCUUAACUCAGAAAGGUCAACUGAUACUGCGGGGCUAGAGUGCAGAAGGGGCAACUGGAAUUCUCGGUGUAGCGGUGAAAUGCGUAGAUAUCGAGAGGAACACCUGCGGCGAAGGCGGGUUGCUGGGCUGACACUGACGCUGAGGCGCGAAAGCUAGGGGAGCGAACGGG